GACGAACGCUGGCGGCGUGCUUAACACAUGCAAGUCGAACGAUGAAGCUCCAGCUUGCUGGGGCGGAAGAGUGGCGAACGGGUGAGUAACACGUGAGUAACCUGCCCAUCACUCUGGGAUAAGCGCUGGAAACGGCGUCUAAUACUGGAUAUGCACAGUGGCCGCAUGGUCUGCUGUGGGAAAGAUUUAUCGGUGGUGGAUGGACUCGCGGCCUAUCAGCUUGUUGGUGAGGUAAUGGCUCACCAAGGCGACGACGGGUAGCCGGCCUGAGAGGGUGAUCGGCCACACUGGGACUGAGACACGGCCCAGACUCCUACGGGAGGCAG
rnacentral:rRNA from 1 species